AGCAGUCGCCGCGGUAAUACAGAGGGUGCGAGCGUUAAUCGGAUUUACUGGGCGUAAAGCGUGCGCAGGCGGUUAUAUAAGACAGAUGUGAAAUCCCUGAGCUUAACUUAGGAAUUGCAUUCGAUACUGGGAAGCUAGAGUAUGGGAGAGGAUGGUAGAAUUCCAGGUGUAGCGGUGAAAUGCGUAGAGAUCUGGAGGAAUACCGAUGGCGAAGGCAGCCAUCUGGCCUAAUACUGACGCUGAGGUACGAAAGCAUGGGGAGCAAACAGGAUUAGAUACCCGGGUAGUCCCUGUCUCUUAUAC
rnacentral:rRNA from 1 species